rnacentral:rRNA from 1 species
CGUAGGGUCCAAGCGUUAAAUCGGAAUUACUGGGCGUAAAGCGUGCGCAGGCGGCUUCGCAAGUCAGACGUGAAAUCCCCGGGCUUAACCUGGGAAUGGCGUUUGAAACUACGGAGCUGGGAGUGUGGCAGAGGGAGGUAGAAUUCCACGUGUAGCGGUGAAAUGCGUAGAUAUGUGGAGGAAUACCGAUGGCGAAGGCAGCCUCCUGGGCCAACACUGACGCGUCAUGCACGAAAGCGUGGGGAGCAAACAGGAUUAGAUACCCUGGUAGUCCACGCCCUAAACUAUGUCAACUAGUUGUUGGGGGAGUUAAAUCCCUUAGUAACGCAGCUAACGCGUGAAGUUGACCGCCUGGGGAGUACGGUCGCAAGAUUAA